rnacentral:rRNA from 1 species
UACGGAGGGUGCAAACGUUGCUCGGAAUCAUUGGGCGUAAAGCGCACGUAGGCGGCCUGUUAAGUCGGGUGUGAAAUCCCCCGGCUCAACUGGGGAACUGCACAGGAAACUAGCGGGCUUGAGUUCGGGAGAGGGAAGCGGAAUUCCGGGUGUAGCGGUGAAAUGCGUAGAUAUCUGGAGGAACACCGGUGGCGAAGGCGGCUUGCUGGGCUGACACUGACGCUGAGGCACGAAGGCCAGGGGAGCAAACGGG